GGAGCAUCCUUCCCAGUCGCUGUCGCCACGGCAGAGGAAAGUCCGGGCUCCGCAGGGCAGGAUGCUGGAGAAAUUCCAGUGGGCGCAAGCCCAAGGAUAGCGCCACAGAAAUCAAACCGCCUACGGGUAAGGGUGAAAAGGUGGGGUAAGGGCCCACCAGCCAACGGGUGACCGUUGGGCUACGGCAAGCCCCAUCCGGAGCAAGAUCGAAUAGGGGAGGAUGAGGCGGCCCGCCGACUCCCGGGUACGAUCGCUCGAUCCCCUUCGCGAGAAGGGGACCAGAGAAAUGACUGGGCACGACAAAACCCGGCUUAUGGGAUGCUCCCCCG
rfam:Aminomonas paucivorans DSM 12260 chromosome, whole genome shotgun sequence.